rnacentral:lncRNA from 1 species
AAAGUAUAUGUGGCUGGUAAAGAGCCACUUUUUUUAAGGAGAAAUCCUUGAUAGAAGAACAGUCGGUUCAAAAAAUAAGUGAAAGUGAAGAAUCGGCUGAUAAAGCUGAGGUAUAUACGGUUGGUAAAAAGCCACUUUCUUCAAGGAGAAAUUUUUGAUAGAAGAAUAUUCGGUUCAAGAAGAGCCGAACCAAUCGAGUAAAAAUAAAGAAUCGGCUGAUAAAGCCGAGAUAUAUGCGGCUGGGAUGAUAAUGAGCCGUUUUUUUUUAAGCCGACCAAGAUCAGCGAAACUAAAGCUUGGGUCUCGGUUAUGCCAUUAAGCAGUCGAUUUGGCACCAAUAAUCAUCCGAAUGUUCAUUCGAAAGACUAUUGGGGGGGCAUUGUUGAUGCCAAAAUUAAGAUUAACACGCCGACCUAACCCACGUAUAAGCUAAAAAAAUAAGGACACGUGGUACACCAGAACUCGGCAAUAAGGCGCCUGAAGGUCAAAAACGUUUAGGCGGGAACGGUUGAGAAGUGGGGCGUAACUUUCAUGUAAAGUGGGGCGUAACUUUCAUGAGAAAUGGAGCGUAACUUUCAUAAUCAUGGCUACAUCACUUCCCCCACUACGAUAACCAACCAAUAAUGUGGGCUGAUAAGAUAUUAUAAAUAGUAACUUUCAAGCCUAUAAUAGAGGUCUUUCUCUCCCCUGAAUAAGAAGAUCGCCGCAUUUUCAAUACUUUCCUUUUUUGCAUUUAACGCUUUCUAGGUGUAGCCUACGCGUAAUCUUUUUUACCCGUAUUUAUUGAUUUUUCUAGAAGUAAUUUUUAAGUUAGAUCUCUGUAGUUUGUAUGCCCCACGGGCACACUCUAUUGUAAUCUAGAUUUUCAGAGUUUGUAUGUCCUUCGGGCACACUCUGUUUUGUGUGAGUUCCCAACUUUAUUUUAAUAUAUAAGAGAUGAAGAGAAAGGACAAAAACAAACUAGGGAGAAAAUAGAAAAAAAUAAAUAAAAAUAUUUUAUCAGUUUAUUAAAAAUUCAGAAUUAAUAUGAAAAAUUUAGGAAAAAAAUUUUAUUUUUAUAAAAAAAAACAAAAUUAAUAAAUUUUUUAUAUAAAUUGG